UACGGAGGGUGCAAACGUUGCUCGGAAUCAUUGGGCGUAAAGCGCACGUAGGCGGCCUGUUAAGUCGGGUGUGAAAUCCCUGGGCUCAACCCAGGAAGUGCAUUCGAAACUGGCAGGCUUGAAUAUGGAAGAGGGUCGCGGAAUUCCCGGUGUAGAGGUGAAAUUCGUAGAUAUCGGGAGGAACACCAGUGGCGAAGGCGGCGCCUGGGCCAAUAUUGACGCUGAGGUGCGAAAAGCGUGGGGAGCAAACAGG
rnacentral:rRNA from 1 species